rnacentral:misc_RNA from 1 species
GAAAUGCGAUAAGUAAUGUGAAUUGCAGAAUUCAGUGAAUCAUCGAAUCUUUGAACGCACCUUGCGCUCCUUGGUAUUCCGAGGAGCAUGCCUGUUUGAGUGUCAUUAAUAUAUCAACCCUCUCUUGUUGAGUGGUUUGGAUGUGGGGGUUUGCUGGCCUCUUGAAAGGUUUCAGCUCUCCUGAAAUGCAUUAGCGGAACAACCCUGUUCAUUGGCGUGAUAACUAUCGACGCUAUUGAAUGUGAAGGGCAGUUUGGCUUUCUAACAGUCCUUGGACAGCUCAUCAUUAAUGUGACCUCAAAUCAGGUAGGACUACCCGCUGAACUUAA